GAGGAGCCCGCGGCUGAUUAGCUAGUUGGUGAGGUAAUGGCUCACCAAGGCAACGAUCAGUAGCCGGUCUGAGAGGACGGUCGGCCACACUGGAACUGAGACACGGUCCAGACUCCUACGGGAGGCAGCAGUGGGGAAUUUUUGGCAAUGGGGGAAACCCUGACCAAGCAACGCCGCGUGGGUGAUGAAGUCUCUUGGGACGUAAAACCCUUUCGACGGGGAAGAAACCGCAAGGUUGACGGUACCCGUAGAAGAAGCCCCGGCUAACUCCGUGCCAGCAGCCGCGGUAAUACGGGGGGGGCAAGCGUUGUUCGGAAUUACUGGGCGUAAAGGGCGCGUAGGCGGUUCGUUAAGUCGGAUGUGAAAACUCUGGGCUCAACCCAGAGCCUGCAUCCGAAACUGGCGAGCUAGAGUUCUGGAGGGGGUAGCGGAAUUCCUGGUGUAGCGGUGAAAUGCGUAGAUAUCAGGAGG
rnacentral:rRNA from 1 species